rnacentral:rRNA from 1 species
UUUGGUUUUGGAAAGUUUUUUCGGUUGGGGAUGGGCUCGCGGCCUUAUCAGUUUGUUGGUGAGGUAAUGGCUCACCAAGACGACGACGGGUAGCCGGCCUGAGAGGGCGACCGGCCACACUGGGACUGAGACACGGCCCAGACUCCUACGGGAGGCAGCAGUGGGGAAUAUUGCACAAUGGGGGAAACCCUGAUGCAGCGACGCAGCGUGCGGGAUGACGGCCUUCGGGUUGUAAACCGCUUUCAGCAGGGAAGAAGCCUUUAUCGGUGACGGUACCUGCAGAAGAAGUACCGGCUAACUACGUGCCAGCAGCCGCGGUAAUACGUAGGGUACAAGCGUUGUCCGGAAUUAUUGGGCGUAAAGAGCUCGUAGGUGGUUGGUCACGUCUGCUGUGGAAACGCAACGCUUAACGUUGCGCGUGCAGUGGGUACGGGCUGACUAGAGUGCAGUAGGGGAGUCUGGAAUUCCUGGUGUAGCGGUGAAAUGCGCAGAUAUCAGGAGGAACACCGGUGGCGAAGGCGGGACUCUGGGCUGUAACUGACACUGAGGAGCGAAAGCAUGGGGAGCGAACAGGAUUAGAUACCCUGGUAGUCCAUGCCGUAAACGUUGGGCACUAGGUGUGGGGGACAUUCCACGUUCUCCGCGCCGUAGCUAACGCAUUAAGUGCCCCGCCUGGGGAGUACGGUCGCAAGGCUAAAACUCAAAGGAAUUGACGGGGGCCCGCACAAGCGGCGGAGCAUGCGGAUUAAUUCGAUGCAACGCGAAGAACCUUACCAAGGCUUGACAUACACCAGACCGUUCUGGAAACAGUUCCUCCCCUUUGGGGUCGGUGUACAGGUGGUGCAUGGUUGUCGUCAGCUCGUGUCGUGAGAUGUUGGGUUAAGUCCCGCAACGAGCGCAACCCUCGUUCUAUGUUGCCAGCACGUGAUGGUGGGAACUCAUAGGAGACUGCCGGGGUCAACUCGGAGGAAGGUGGGGAUGACGUCAAAUCAUCAUGCCCUUUAUGUCUUGGGCUUCACGCAUGCUACAAUGGCUGGUACAGAGAGAUGCGAGACCGCGAGGUUUUAGCGAAUCCCUUAAAGCCAGUCUCAGUUCGGAUCGUAGUCUGCAAUUCGACUACGUGAAGUCGGAGUCGCUAGUAAUCGCAGAUCAG